GUUUCACUUUUGAAAGUUGAAGACGCAGUUGUUGAAGACUGAUUUUGACAGAUAUUCUGCGGACAUUACGGAAUUAACAGAAGACUGAGGUGGAGGAACAUGAAGAACAGGGCGGCAGUCGGCAGGUGUAGGCAAAUCAUUAAUAGGCAGGACAGAGGACGCAGAUGAAUCUCCUGAAGGAACUGACAUCGCAGAGGAUGUGCCACAUGUGGAAGUGCACGAAGGUCUUCAACGACGCCUCGCUUCGAUGCGCCGACAUAAACAUGAUCUGGCGUGACUGGAAACUAGCAUCACUCAUGGCUGUAAUGGCUGUGGCACGCAGGCAGUGCGGUGUGUAAGUUUUAAUACACUUUGACGACUUACAAAUAUCCGUCAUAAAUCCUGAGAAUGACCUUUUUGCUAAAGGUUUAGCAGUGUACCACACUGAUUGCAAAGCUGGAAGAGAGAGUGCGUCUUUGUAGCAUGAGUUAAAGAAGUGUGUAGCAUUGGAAUCUGAAUUGCUCAUCAGCAGAUGAAGCAUCUUUAUUGGACAUGCUUCACUCCCUUGAAUUUCAUAAAUUCGUUUGUCGGAUGGAGCUUCAUGACAUCCAAUUCCACCCUGGAAUUUUUGUUGUUGUGUUUCAUGACGAAGCGUUGCAUAUUCCAGGCCAUUUUCAUCCUUUUGGAAGUGAAAUGAAUCCAUACGCAAUUGAUGGUGAAAUUCUAAGCCACGGGAAAUAAAAUGAAUUGAAAGAUUGUACCACACGCAUUGUCGCAGUACAACAGGAGAGGAUGGUGCACAUUUAAAAUAGGAAGAAAUUCUCUGCAGAUCCUCUGUAUUCUAAAAAUUUCUAAAGAACUUUUAGUAAACUUGAAAUCACAGAAUUUUUCCCAAAUCAAUAGCAUUAAAACCUAUGACUUUUCAACACUAUACACGACCAUUCCUCACGAUAAAUUAAAGACUAGACUUUUUGACAUCAUAGACAGUUGCUUCUUCAACAAAAACGGAAAACGGAAAUAUUCAUAUCUAGUGAUCAGUCAUUCAAAAACUUACUUUGUUAAACACCACUCUGAUUCCACGCACAGCUACUCUGAAGUUGAAAUAAAAAAUAUGCUAGAGUU